UGGGGAAUUUUGCACAAUGGGGGAAACCCUGAUGCAGCGACGCCGCGUGAUUUAGAAGGCCUUCGGGUUGUAAAAAUCUUUUCUAUGGGAAGAAAAUGACAGUACCAUAGGAAUAAGGACCGGCUAAUUACGUGCCAGCAGCCGCGGUAAUACGUAAGGUCCGAGCGUUGUCCGGAAUCAUUGGGCGUAAAGGGUACGUAGGCGGGUAAGCAAGUUAGAAGUGAAAUCCUAUAGCUCAACUAUAGUAAGCUUUUAAAACUGCUCAUCUGGAGGUAUGGAAGAGAAAGUGGAAUUCCUAGUGUAGCGGUGAAAAGCGCAGAUAUUAGGAGGAGUACCGGUGGCGAAGGCGACUUUCUGGCCAUAACCUGACGCUGAGGUACGAAAGAGUGGGUAGCAAACAGG
rnacentral:rRNA from 1 species